UGCUCAACAAAAAAAAUCGCUUUUGUUUUCUUUUUCCAUACACACUCAAGUAUCUAAAAUCAAAGCCUAUGUUUCCAUUGACUCUAUGUAACUCCGAAGAUAUUAACAGUGCAAUAACCUUGCUUAACUAAAUAAGUUUAUGAAUCCAAUCAUUGCUUGUAUCCACUAACCUUUGUUUCUUCAUCAUGCACCGAUCAUUCC
rnacentral:lncRNA from 1 species